AAGACUAUACUUUCAGGAUCAUUUCUAUGGUUUGUUACUAGAGAAGUUUAUCUGAAUGUGUGGAGCACCAAAGGU
rnacentral:snoRNA from 1 species